GACGAAGGGGGCUAGCGUUGUUCGGAAUUACUGGGCGUAAAGCGAGUGUAGGUGGUUGUCCAAGUUGGAUGUGAAAGCCUUGAGCUCAACUCAAGAAAUGCAUUCAGGACUGGAUGGCUAGAGGACCGGAGAGGAUAGUGGAAUUCCCAGUGUAGUGGUGAAAUACGUAGAGAUUGGGAAGAACACCAGUGGCGAAGGCGGCUGAUC
rnacentral:rRNA from 1 species